rnacentral:rRNA from 1 species
CUACGGGAGGCAGCAGUUGGGAAUAUUGCCCAAUGGGCGCAAGCCUGAUGGCCCCACGGCGGGUAUGCGAAGAAGGCUUCGGGUUGUAAAGCACUUUCAGCGAGGAGGAAAGGUUAGUACGGUA